CCCGCCGCGCUCCGGCGUCUCUUCGGCGCGCCCGGCUCCCGGCUGUCCCCGCCCGGCGUGCGGGCCGGUGUAUGGGCCCCUCACCAUGUCGCUGAAGCCCCAGCAGCAGCAGCAGCAGCAGCAGCAGCCCGCGGCCGCCAAUGCCCGCAAGCCUGGCGGCGGCGGCGGCGGCGGCCUCCUCACGUCGCCCGCCGCCGCGCCGUCGCCGUCCUCUUCCUCAGUCUCGUCGUCCUCGGCCGCGGCUUCCUCCUCCUCCUCCUCCUCGGUGGCGGCGGCGAGCGCAGGCGGCGGGCGGCCGGGCCUGGGCAGAGGCCGAAACAGUAGCAAAGGACUGCCUCAAUCUACGAUUUCUUUUGAUGGAAUCUAUGCAAAUAUGAGGAUGGUUCAUAUACUUACAUCAGUUGUUGGAUCCAAAUGUGAAGUACAAGUGAAAAACGGAGGUAUAUAUGAAGGAGUUUUUAAAACAUACAGUCCUAAGUGUGAUUUGGUACUUGAUGCUGCGCAUGAGAAAAGUACAGAAUCCAGUUCGGGGCCAAAACGUGAAGAAAUAAUGGAGAGUAUUUUGUUCAAGUGUUCAGAUUUUGUUGUGGUACAGUUUAAAGAUAUGGACUCCAGUUAUGCAAGAAGAGAUGCUUUUACUGACUCUGCUAUCAGUGCUAAAGUGAAUGGUGAACACAAAGAGAAGGACCUGGAGCCCUGGGAUGCAGGUGAACUCACUACCAGUGAGGAACUGGAGGCUUUGGAAAAUGAUGUUUCUAAUGGAUGGGAUCCCAAUGAUAUGUUUCGAUAUAAUGAAGAAAAUUAUGGUGUAGUGUCUACAUAUGAUAGCAGUCUAUCUUCAUAUACGGUGCCCUUAGAAAGGGAUAACUCAGAAGAAUUUUUAAAACGAGAAGCAAGGGCAAACCAGUUAGCAGAAGAAAUUGAAUCAAGUGCCCAGUAUAAAGCCCGGGUGGCCCUGGAAAAUGAUGAUAGGAGCGAAGAAGAAAAAUACACAGCAGUUCAGAGAAAUUCCAGUGAACGUGAGGGCCACAACAUAAACACUAGGGAAAAUAAAUAUAUUCCUCCUGGACAAAGAAAUAGAGAAGUCAUAUCCUGGGGAAGUGGGCGACAGAAUUCACCGCGUAUGGGCCAGCCUGGAUCGGGCUCCAUGCCAUCGAGAUCCACCUCUCACACUUCAGAUUUCAACCCAAAUUCUGGUUCAGACCAAAGAGUAGUUAAUGGAGUUUUUAUACUUUCCUUCAUAUCAUUUGUUCUGUCAGGUGUUCCCUGGCCAUCGCCUUGCCCAUCUCCUUCCUCUCGCCCACCUUCUCGCUACCAGUCAGGUCCCAACUCUCUUCCACCUCGGGCAGCCACCCCUACACGGCCGCCCUCCAGGCCCCCCUCGCGGCCAUCCAGACCCCCGUCUCACCCCUCUGCUCAUGGUUCUCCAGCUCCUGUCUCUACUAUGCCUAAACGCAUGUCUUCAGAAGGGCCUCCAAGGAUGUCCCCAAAGGCCCAGCGACACCCUCGAAAUCACAGAGUUUCUGCUGGGAGGGGUUCCAUUUCCAGUGGCCUAGAAUUUGUAUCCCACACCCCACCAAGUGAAGCGACUGCUCCUCCAGCAGCAAGGACCAGUCCCGCAGGGGGCACGUGGUCAUCAGUGGUCAGCGGGGUUCCAAGAUUAUCUCCUAAAACUCACAGACCCAGGUCUCCCAGACAGAAUAGUAUUGGAAAUACUCCUAGUGGGCCAGUUCUUGCUUCUCCCCAAGCUGGUAUUAUUCCGGCUGAAGCUGUUGCUAUGCCUGUACCAGCUGCAUCUCCUACGCCUGCCAGUCCUGCAUCCAACAGAGCUGUAACCCCGUCUCUUGAGGCUAAAGAUUCCAGGCUUCAGGAUCAGAGGCAGACCUCUUCUGCAGGGAAUAAAGAAAAUAUGAAGCCCAAUGAGACAUCACCUAGCUUCUCAAAAGCUGAAAGUAAAGGUAUAUCACCAAUUGUUUCUGAACAUAGAAAACAGAUUGAUGAUUUAAAGAAAUUUAAGAAUGACUUUAGGUUACAGCCAAGUUCUACUUCUGAAUCUAUGGAUCAGCUGCUAAACAAAAAUAGAGAGGGAGAAAAAUCAAGAGAUUUGAUCAAAGACAAAAUUGAACCAAAUGCUAAGGAUUCUUUCAUUGAAAAUAGCAGCAACUGCACCAGUGGCAGCAGCAAGCCGAGCAGUCCCAGCAUUUCACCUUCAAUCCUCAGUAACACGGAGCACAAGAGGGGACCUGAGGUCACAUCCCAAGGGGUUCAGACUUCCAGUCCAGGAUGUAAACAAGAGAAAGAUGAUAAAGAGGAGAAGAAAGAUGCAGCUGAGCAAGUGAGGAAAUCAACGUUGAAUCCCAAUGCGAAGGAGUUCAACCCUCGUUCCUUUUCUCAGCCAAAGCCUUCUACCACCCCAACUUCGCCUCGUCCUCAAGCACAACCUAGCCCAUCUAUGGUGGGUCAUCAGCAGCCAACUCCAGUUUAUACUCAACCUGUUUGUUUUGCACCAAAUAUGAUGUAUCCAGUCCCAGUGAGCCCAGGAGUGCAACCUUUAUAUCCUAUACCUAUGACGCCCAUGCCCGUCAAUCAAGCCAAGACAUAUAGAGCAGGUAAAGUACCAAAUAUGCCCCAACAACGGCAAGACCAACAUCAUCAGAGUACCAUGAUGCACCCAGCCUCAGCAGCAGGCCCACCAAUUGUGGCCACCCCACCAGCUUAUUCCACACAGUAUGUUGCCUAUAGUCCUCAGCAGUUUCCAAAUCAGCCUCUUGUUCAGCAUGUGCCACAUUAUCAGUCUCAGCAUCCUCAUGUCUAUAGUCCUGUAAUACAGGGUAAUGCUAGAAUGAUGGCACCACCAACACAUGCCCAGCCUGGUUUAGUAUCUUCUUCAGCAACUCAAUACGGGGCUCAUGAGCAGACGCAUGCGAUGUAUGCAUGUCCCAAAUUACCAUACAACAAGGAGACAAGCCCUUCUUUCUACUUUGCCAUUUCCACUGGCUCCCUUGCUCAGCAGUAUGCGCACCCUAAUGCUACCUUGCACCCUCAUACUCCACAUCCUCAGCCUUCUGCCACCCCCACUGGACAGCAGCAAAGCCAACAUGGUGGAAGCCAUCCUGCACCCAGUCCUGUUCAGCACCAUCAGCAUCAGGCCGCCCAGGCUCUCCACCUGGCCAGUCCGCAGCAGCAGUCAGCCAUUUACCAUGCGGGGCUUGCACCAACCCCACCUUCCAUGACACCUGCCUCCAAUACACAGUCGCCACAGAAUAGUUUUCCAACAGCACAACAGACCGUCUUUACGAUUCAUCCUUCUCAUGUUCAGCCGGCUUAUACCAAUCCACCCCACAUGGCCCAUGUACCUCAGUUCUGGUUCAAGGUAUCUCUAGAAAAAGACAAGACUGAGAGAUGUUCUCUUUGGUGGCUAGAGGUCUGCUUCAGAAGGAGGAAGGCUGGCCAGAGUUGGGCAGUGCCGAAAGUCCACAUCCUCACCCUGACGCUGAUUCUAAAUGAUCAAAGGCAGAAGAUUUAUACCAGAUAAAGCCAUAUGGAUUGCUGGUCUAAAAUUCAAGGCAGGUUAGUUGACUUAAUUCUUUGGUGCUGGUGACUGUUAGUUUGUAAAAGUUCAUUGAAGUCAGGCGAAGGAGGUGAUGAUGCUGGGAGCAGUUAAGCUAUCCUUGUUGUCUGUAAUUAGAGAUAACUGGAGGGCUUGUGAUGCUUACUGUCCAACUGGCACUCAAGAGUCUGGCUCUCAGUAGAGGCUGCUGGCUUGGCCUCUUGCCGCCAGCAGUGGUCACAUUGAGGCUGGAAAGAGGGUGGUGGAAUGUGCUAUGACUGCGGUGGGCUGGCUGCAGCCGUCAGGGUUGCUGCCUCACUGCCUGUGACAGCAUCAAGCCCAGGGACCCACUGCCCCCGUUCCUCCAGCUCAACCUGCUCUAGCAGAAAGAAAAGGCAUUGACUUAGUGUCGCUUCUUCCCAGGCCAUGAGGGGCCUUUUUGUCGGAAUGUAUUUGAGCUGUCCUGGUAACUCAGACACAUUUAGUAAAUAAAUGUUUUUCUUGAACAUUUUACACUGAUGCAGUCUGGAAGUGGAUGACUGUGUCACAGAUUCUGAGCUUGUACUUUGUAGCCAGUCGGUCAGAGCUGCUGACUUGCUGUGCUUGGCUUGCCUCUUGGCACUACCUGAGAAUUGUAUGUUGAGCGGCUGUUAAGAAGUGAGUGCCCCUGGCUUGUGGAUAUCAUAUCCCAGAUGUCUGUUUACCCUUCUGGUUGGAGGGGGGGAACUUACUUGUCUGGUUCAUUGUCUGCUUGGCCCCUUUCCUGUGCAGACAGGGGAAAAUCUGUACCAGUGACUUGUCAGCAUUUACUUUCUAUGAUGAGCUUUCUCUUGUAAAAGAGAAAUCCAAAACAGUGCUUACUCCUGGUCUACACUUUGCUUAGCAUUCAUUAAUCAGACCUGCUUGAUGUGUAGAAAAUGUGGCCCUUAGAAAUAGACAACUCUAGAUCAGGGUUGGUUAUGCUUUACCGUCUGUGAAAACACCCAGGACUGUUGGUUUUAUCUGUAUAUAUAAGGUGGGGGGAGGGGCACGCCACACAGCUUGCAGGAUCUCAGUUCCCUGACCAGGGGUGGAACCCACGCCCCCUACAGGGGAAGCACAGAGCCCUACCACUGGACCACCAGGGAAGUCCCAGGAGUGUUGGUUUUAAAAGUGGAAGAGAGGUGGCUCCUGACCUCCCUGCUUCUCCCAAAGUCUGACCUCUGACCUCUUGGAGUGGAGAACGGCUGGAGGGAACAGACACACGCCUCACCCCAGAUAAGGCAGGCAAGUAGUUAGUUUAGGCCAAGGUUUAAUUUUAGCUUUUGACUGAUGUAUGUAUAAAUGUUAAGCUGUGCUGAACUCCCAGUUUCCUAGAAGCCACUUCAAGGAGCCCAGUGGCUAUACUGAACGGCUCUGCUCGCACCCACAAGCAGCUGACUCCACUCGGUCACUGCCUCCCUUGUUUCUGAGCCUCUGCAUGAAAGUUCUGGGAGGAGCCAGCCCCCAUGAAUUGUAUCACUUGUGAAAGGCAAGUAUAGAUGGAGAUUUGACUACAGGACCUCCCUGCAUGGUAGAGGUUAUGUGUGCCUAUGUAUACAUGCACACAUGCUUCAUCAGAUGAAGCAGUGGUUACUGCUGGAACAGAACACUGAUUGUGGGCUAUUAAAGGAGUUUCUCAUUAGCUGUGGCACCAGAUUCCUAGCCUCCAUUUUGGCUCAAGAAUGAGCCUAAAACCUUGUGGGAUAAUUUAAUAAGCCUUUAGACACUUGGAGGCUCUGAGCCAGCCCUGUUGGUGAAGGAUUUACUAGAAAGGGCCCAGCAGCCCUUUAUUCCUUUUUCCUUGCCCCUCCCUUACCCCUCAGUUUAACUCUCACCAUAAAGCUGCUGUAAACCAGAAUCCAGUUUUUUAUUCAUAAGGCACCAGGGUGGAAUUGUUCCUUGCCACCCUCCUAUUUCAGUAAUUGCCUGAAUUUCCCUGAAAGGGUGACACACUUCACUUCUCUACAUUUAGGAAGGACAGUGGCUCCUCAGCAACAGGUGACUGUCCUGAGGAUGCAAUAGACAAGGAAGCCAGGCAUGCUGGCUCGAACCAGGAACUGGUCAAGUAGGAUUUGCAUAGCUGUCUCUGACUACAAAAAUCGCAUGGGUAUUAGUUCAAACAGUGCAAUGAAAUAAGCAGUGGUUUAAUUUUGAAACCUGAAUCCUUUGAAAAAUUAAUCUGAGGUAAAAAUGUUUAAAAUCAUUUUUGACCUUUAGCUUGUCCAUCUGCCAGAACUUUGUCCUAAAGUUGAGAGUCGAAGCAGGAUAGGUGUGGUCACCUGUGGCUUGGGUACAGCAGACCCGCCACGUGGACUGAAGCUAUAACGGGAAAAAAAACCACAGGAGAAUCCAGGGCUUGUUAGUGUUUUGGGCUUCCUGAUGGGCCCCCCUCCCCCCUCCCCAAGUAGAAAGUCUGCCAGCUGGGACAGUGUCAGUGAAAAAGAGAACAAGUUUCCACUGCCAACUCCAGCCCUCACCCCACUGCCCCCCUCUAAGAGUGAUGGGGCCUGGUCCUAGGGACCCAGGGCAGGAGCUGGCGACAUCCACGAACAAGAACUACAUCUGUAAACAAUAAGGAGAAAGCCAGGUGAGAAUGGAACUUCUAGGAGGCCCUUUAACAGGCCUAAUUGAAGGGUCACAUCCAAACUGGAAUCAACAGUUAACAGUGUCCCUUAAAUCUCUCUCUGGAAGGAAGGAAAGAAAGUUACAUUCAGAAGUUCACAUCUCUACUUGCUUGUGCUUCUCAGGGGCCUCUGGGAGGCCUGUCAGAGAGGCGUGUACUGAUUGUCUAUGGCCCGCAGGUGGCUCCGGGAGGAGGAGUCCAUUUCAUAGUCCGAGUCCCGGGCUCGACUGGUGGGCUCGGGCUCCAGGUGCCGCAGGCUGUUGGCCAGUUCCUCAGGCGAAGGCACCAGGUGGAAGAUCUGCUCUGGGGGAGAGGACCGGCCUGGGAGACCCUCUGGGCCGAGCCCCCGUGGACAGCCAGAAGCGCUAAGGUGGGGAAGGCCCAGCUCUGAAUCCCAGCGAGAGAGGGAGAAAGGGAACAGGACAGUGUUGGAGGAACCUGGGGGACAAGUGACCAAGAGAGAGACCACACUGUCAGUCUUAACGGGGUGGAGGCAAGUGUUGGAAGGACACAACACGAGGUCUCGGUUCCCAGUGCCACCACCCCCUUUAUCAAGGGGCAUUAGGGUCACACCUGGUGGCUGGGAGACGACUACCACAUAGCUGGACAGCCGGACGUCACAGGCAGCCCCGCACUCGAGUGGGAUGGGUGAGCGCUGGAAGUGGUGGAGCAUGUCCACAACCGAGGGGAAGUGGAGGUGUUGCACGCGACACUGGCCCCGCUCAGUCAGUGACAGGCGCAGGUGCUGCAGGAGAGGAGGACGGUAGGCUCAGGCAUUGGCCCCUAAGGGCCUUGAACCUGGCCAGGGUGCAGCCCACCUGCCUCGCCCCAUACCUUGGCUAUGCCCUGGAAGUUGAACGUGAGCACGUACUCCCCACGCCGAGUCUCACUCUGCCGUACCAGGAACACUCCAUGAGCGUCAGGACCCUGCAGCUGAACCAGCUGAGCUGCCUUCACUCGGGAGAUGGGGCCAUGGAACCAGGGGUAGCAGGACAGGAAGUGAUCUGUUUUCUGGCAGGCUGGAUCCAGCAACCCCCCAGGAGAAGCACCUGAUAGAGAAGGAGACAGGUGUGGAAAGCUGUCACUCACCUUCAGCACAAAGGUGUAGAGGUUGUCAGGCAUCUCGAGACGUGUGCAUCGCCGAAUCUCCUGGAUGCUGGAGCAGGCUGCUUGUAGCUUGGGCUUUGAACUCUAGGAGACCAAGGCAGACAUUCAAGGCCUGUCUCUGAUGGCCCUUCACCCACCCAGGCCUCCCCAGGGGCUAGCUUGCUGAGUGCAUGCUCGUGGUGCUGCUGAGCAGGCACCCCAAGCCUGGAGUGCGUCCUAGCAUUCUGCCUUGCAGGAGCCUGCAGAGGGCCCUCUGCCUGUAGCCACAGCACCAGCUCCCCCGACCCCAACACACACACACACACACACAUUGAGCUCCCCAGCACCCGAUGUGGCCUAAGGGCCAACCUCUGCUUCACCUGGACCUGUGGACAUUCCAGCUCUGACAUGUCUGUUGGCUGACACCUGUUUCUCUUCCCACUGGUGGAGCAAAACCCCCCAACCCCCUACCCUUGCCAGUCACAGUGGCUGCUGGCCACCUCAUCGCAGUAAACCCAGAGAGUGGACGUGAGGGUAUCCAACCCAAGUUCCCUCUAAUGGUGCUGGCUGACUCUGCCUGGGGGCCCAGGACUUUAUCAUACCUUUAGCUCCGCUCCUCCGCAGCCUUAGGAAGCAGAUGCUAUCACCACAUCUUAAAAAGAACCUCAAAUCUUGGAAGUAAAGUCAUUUGCCCCACACCUAGCUAAUCUGUCCUGCCUUCAAGUCUUAGGGCAAGGAGGGGGUUGGCAGAGUAGCUUAGCUAUGGGCUCUUGGGGCUCUUUUGCCAAUGUGCCCAAAGGGGCAAAGCCUGGCAUGGCUGGCCUCAAUUACAGCCAGCCAGAAGCCCACACAAAACCUGGGGCCCAGCAGUCUCCCAUGACAUUCAACACACGUGGGGCUCAGAGUGGGUGGGAGAUGACCCCCUACCCUUUUGCCAGCAAAAGGGUCCUGACUGAACCUGGCUGACC